UACGUAGGGGGCAAGCGUUGUCCGGAUUUAUUGGGCGUAAAGAGCGUGUAGGCGGUCUGGUAGGUCCGUUGUAAAAACUCGAGCUCAACCUCGAGACGCCGAUGGAAACCCUCAGACUAGAGUCCGGAAGAGGAGAGUGGAAUUCCUGGUGUAGCGGUGAAAUGCGCAGAUAUCAGGAAGAACACCCGUGGCUAAGGCGGCUCUCUAGUACGGUACUGACGCUGAGACGCGAAAGCGUGGGGAGCGAACAGG
rnacentral:rRNA from 1 species